rnacentral:rRNA from 1 species
UACGGAGGGUGCAAGCGUUAAUCGGAAUUACUGGGCGUAAAGCGCGCGUAGGUGGUUUGGUAAGCGAGAUGUGAAAGCCCCGGGCUUAACCUGGGAACGGCAUUUCGAACUGUCAGACUAGAGUGUGGUAGAGGGUAGUGGAAUUUCCUGUGUAGCGGUGAAAUGCGUAGAUAUAGGAAGGAACACCAGUGGCGAAGGCGGCCAUCUGGCUGAUAACUGACGCUGAGGUGCGAGAGCGUGGGGAGCAAACAGG